UUUGCCCCUAGAGGCGUUACAGAUGCGACUGAUGAUGUCGCGUUUGUGUCAUUAGGUGGCAUAGAGUAUCAUGACUGCGUCUACGCUCUGUGCUCCAGCCAAUGAGCACCUGGAAUGAUUACCAGUCAUACAAC